UCCUGCGCUCUUCUGGCUCCCGACCUUGUGCGUGGCGCCUCUCCGAACCUCCUCGAUCGUCCGGACUUCUCCGACAAUGAACUUCUGCAUUCGUCCAUCGGGCCACCCUGAAGGCCCUCUGGGGCUCACUGUCAACCAACCUUCUACAGCAACCAACUACCCUCCGCACUUCUUUCGAACUUUGUCAGCAUCCGAGCUUCCCCGACAACGAGAGUUCUACGGUAACCAAACUCCACCCGAAUUUCUACGACGGUCGACCACCCCCUGGAUCUUAAUCGGGCUCCCACGAGAGCCGAACUUCUACUACAAAUGGUCUACUCCGAACACCU
rnacentral:lncRNA from 1 species